UAAAGAAAAGCAAUGAAAUGAUACGUCCUCCAUUUUGUUAAAUUUAUAUAGUGUGAGAAAAGAACAAUUUGUAUUUUGAUUAAAAUUAAAAUAUUAAAUGAAAACCCAACUGUGGGAACAUUGUUGAUUUCUCAGAAUCGCAUUCAUAAGAGGCUUUUGUUUAACAUCCUAAACAGAAAGCGUGUAAAAUUUUGAUAUUUUAGCCAUUUUAUUUUGUCGAAAGUUUAUUUGUUGCAACAUGGAGCAACGAGUAACACCCAUUAUAUGAUCAGCUCUUAAGCUUUAAAAGAAGAAAGAAAACGCGGCCAGGGACUUGCCACGUCUGUGUCUGGGCCAGAGCAGCAACAAAUUAUUAACGACAUUUUAAAUACAACGCCUUUUGCGACCGCUCGAGCUGAGCUCGAGAGCGAAAGGGGUCAAACACGGGUCUCAGCUCUGCUGUCUGGGAGUCAGCAUGGCCCAAUCGAGUCUUCCUUGCGGGCGGCGACACGAGAAACGAAGACGACGGCGACAAGCCAAGAGGCGACGCCUUUUAAUGAGAUUUGUCUGCUCCGAAAUACAUGAAAAACUCGUGUUUCUUAUGCAUUUAAGCGUUUUAAGGACACACAGGCAAAAACGAGAGACCAAAGCCACUUGCUGUUGGCCCUUACGAAUGGGGCUCAACAAAACGGCAACGUGUGGCAUUAACAAGUGUCUGGCAGAGACUGCAGAGUUGUGCUUUAUAUUUUAUGCUCAGAGCAGGCAGUAAAAAUUGAAAAUUACUUUUGUAGCGGAUCUUGAGGUUGGGGCCAUUACAUAUCCAGGCCCUACCGCAUUUGAAAGCUGAGGCAAUAAUUGCACAGUGAAAAUUACAAUCGAGUAUUUUUAUUGACUCUUCCUUGCGGCUGCGCAAAGAUCUGCGUGCCAUCCGCGAGCUCGAUGAAAGUGCGUGUGGGUUAUGGAGAUCUUCAACUGGGCACUGGAGCAUGUGCACCCGCGGCGUUUAGUUUCUGUUACUGUAGUUGCGAAUGAAAGUUUUUAACCGUUCAUCUUUUUUAGGAUAUUAUGUUAAAGGAAUACCCAAACAUGACAGCCAAAAUUGUUGCUAAUAAAUUGCUUAACUUAAAAUGCCACCCAAA